AAUAUAUAUAUAUAUAUCACUACAACAGAAUUAGUUUAUAGGGACACAUAUUUGGGACACUUUUGAGUAAGUGUCCCAUUUAUGUUAAAACUUAAAAACACAUCUACUAAUGCCUAAAUAUAAAGCCCAAUCCAACCAAAAAUAAAAGAUUACUCUACUCAACCCACCACACCUAGUCCAUUUGGCCCGAUUACAAACAGAAAAGAAAAAAAAAAAAUCAAUUAUCAUCUUUUCUUCUCUCUUCACUCAAUCCACUGAAAUUCUAGACGAAAAGCCUUUACUGUCGUCCUCCUCCGCCACCGCAGCCAACGAAAUAGAGUUUCGGCGGUUGCUAAAUGCUUAAAUAAGUGUUGGUAAAUUAGCAGCACUCUUUUAGGUUAUAGCGACACUCUUUAACUGUCACUAUAUACCUAGCGAUCCCACAUAUAGCAAUACUUUUUAAAAGUAUCGGUAAUUUUAGCUAGCAGCACUUUUUUGACAUGUAUCUAUAUUUAAAAGUGUCGCUAUAGACCGUUUUUGUCGUAGUGUAUUUAUUUAUAUAACAAAUUCAAAAGUUUAAUCGGCGCUUGCAUUUUGAAGUUUAGAAUCAUACUUCAUCUUUUCACCGCAGCUAAACUGUAAGCGCUAUAAAUAAACCAUUGAAAAAUUAAUAGUUGUAUCUGAAAGCAGAAGUAAAAGUUCGGCCACACCGGCACCGACGCGAUCGAUCGAUAACUGCGGUCCAUAUUACCCACAACAGGUGUCAUUAGAUGAGAGAUUCCUGCUAAUAAGUCACGAUCAUGGUUGCGGAAAGGCCUAACAUUUGCGAACUACUCCCUCUUGCUUGAAAGGGACCUUCCCCCAAUAAAACACCCCACCAUACACCACCACCACCACCCAACUAUAUAUAGUAUUAAUAUUGUUCUCGUCUACGGAUGCAAAUGGCACGGAUCUGGGGGCGGGAAAGGGUCCCCACCCACUCUCGUUCCAUUUUAUUGGCGGAUCGAGAUAAGAAAAGUCGACCGAUCAGAUUCAGGGCGGAUCUUUUAAAGCACGAAUCCGAACCCAAACCCAAAAUCUCAACCCGACGAAUUCUGAAAAUUCAUAUCCAAGUAUGCACCCAACCAAUAAUUCGAAAACUAAACCAAGAUCCGAAAAUUCCAACCUGAAAUAAUUAUUUCUCUUUAUCAUAUUUCAAAAAUAUUAUAUUAAAAUAUAAAAUUUUUAAAAUACAAGUUCUAAUGUAACAUUAAAUGUUUAUAUAUGUUAUCAUAUAACGUAAAAUCAAUUCGGAUUUGAGUCGGGUAGGAUCAGAAUAUAUAUACCCGAAUUCAAAUCCGUCGAGUUUUCGUUAUUUAUACUUGUAUUCAAAACUAUAUCCGUUUACCAUCCGUACCGGUCGACAUCCCUAGUCGGAAUAAAUUUGGUAAAAUUUAAUUUUUAUCAUAAUUUUUUUUUGUCCCUACUUACUACUGGUUCAACAGGGGCGAUAUAAAAGAAAAAUUUUGGCAAAUUUUUGACAAAUCAGAGCGACUUUAUUUCUUAGCGAGUCGUAAUGGAUUCAGAAUGAAUUAUUCUCAUUCAGAACGGAUCGGGGUGUGAGCUCCAUUCACCCGACUUCGUUUGCAUCUCUAUUCUCAUCGAAAUGAUAAUAAUUUAGCUUUUACAUGCAUAGUCACUCGUCAACAAUCUCAUGCUAAUAACAAGAUGAUGACCCGUAAAUAAAUAAAUAAAUAAAAAGACAAGAAGAAAAUGAAAGGACCAAAGUCCCUUUCUUAAUUUGUGGUGUAAUAUAUAUUUAGCAUAAGUAAUUAACAACCACAUCUUAAAAAACAAAACUCCAAACUUUUAUAUAUUAAUUAUUGAUAUAAUUCCCACCUUAAAAUAAUCGCCUCGGAUUCUACGCCGUCACAUUCUCUUUCAUGUCAUCACGUUAGCUCGAUGCGUUCUCACUGUCGCCAGGUAGUUCCAAAAAAAAAAAAAAAAAAAAAAAUUAUAUAAAAUUUAGGAAAAACUUCAAAUACCUUCAUGUGGUUUCACUUUUUCUCACUUUAGUACCAUAUGAUUUAAAGUGUAUCAAGUUAGAACCAUGUGGUUAUUGCACUUUUUCACUUUAGUACCAUGUGUUUUAAAGUGUAUCAAGUUAGUACCCUAUUGUUUCGCACUUUCUCACUUUAGUAUCCUGUGAUUUCGUACUUUCUCACUUUACUACCAUGUGGUUUAAAAACCACAAGGUACUAACUUGAUACAAAAAUAAGAUUACAGAGUACUAACUUUAUACAAAAAUAAAACCACAUAGUACUAAUUAACUUGAUACAUUUUAAACCAUAGGGUACUAAAAUGAAAAAGUACGAAACUACAGGGUACUAAUUUGAUACACUUUAAACCACAUUGUACUAAAAUGAAAAAGUACGAAACCACAGCGGGAUUUUUUGAAAUUUUUUCUAAAAUUUAUCUGAAUUAUAAAUUAUUUAAAUUUAAUAUUUAAUAUUUUUGCAUUCAAAUUUUGACUAUAUAAUUUUUUUUAAUUUGAACCAAUUAAUGAUAUCUUAAUUUUAAAAUUUGAAUGUAUUAUUUUUUUAGUAUGCUUCAUGUAACUCUCGCAAUUAUAAAUUUAUUAAAAUAAGUAUUAGUUUAAAAUUUAAAUUUAAAGUAUCGUUGACUCACUCAAAUUAAAUAAAUUAAAAUAUUAAAUAGUAAAAUUAAAUUUUUGAAAGGUUGGGUGAUGGAUUCAAAACCGUUCAUAAUUUAGAUAAUUUCUCUACGUUUUUACCUAAAAAAUAAUGUAUGAAAAUUAUAGAAACUAUGAUCCAUUUUAAUUUGGCUACCUAAAAUUUUAGAAUUGUUUGUGGAGGAUGCGACCCUUAUUGGAACUUACAGAUUUUAUUCUUUUCCAACAACAAAUAUUGUUAUAAUCGAUAACUAGUAGUUGUAAUAAUAUUUUAUGGUAAUAAGCAAAAAUCGUUGCAAUAUAUUUUAUAAUAAUAGAUAACUAAAUAAUAUGAUUUGCAUUAUCAGCGUGAUACAUAUAUACUGUUGCAAUAAAAUAUAUUUUCUAAUAAUUUAAUUUUUAAUAUAAUUAAAUUGAUGUGAUAAAAUAAAAUUUUCGUAGUGGAGAGGAUGCUUGAUAUGUAUUAACGACUAUCUAAUACUAUUACAUUAAAAAGAAUAUUUGAAGGGAAAAUAUUUAGAAAUGUGUUUCUCUAUUUUUUUUUUAAGUACGAUCGCAGAAAUCUUACCUUAAUUAUUGAACUACUGUGAUCUCCUCGACACGUUACCAUUAAUAAAGUUGGAUUUUGGGCAUUACUACUUAACAUUGUAUUUUAUUUUAUUUUCUUUUCUUUUUUGUGAUUCUUCGAUAGUAAAAAGGUUAUCAAAUUACUUAAAUUACACGAAAUAAAAAGCUAUAUCACUACAACAGAAUUAGAUUAUAGGGACACAUGUUUGAGACACUUUUGAGUAAGUGUCCUAUUUAUGCUAAAACUUUAAAAAAAUCUACUUAUGCCUAAAUAUAAAGCCCAAUCCAACCAAAAAUAAAAGAUUACUCUACUCAACCCACCACACCCAGUCCAUUUGACCCGAUUACAAACAGAAAAGAAAAAAAAAAAAUCAAUUACCAUCUUUUCUUCUCUCUUCACUCAAUCCACUGAAAUUCUAGACGAAGAGUCUUUUAUGUCGUCCUCCUCCGUCACUGCAGCCAACGAGAUAGAGUUUCGACGGUUGCUAAAUGCUUAAAUAAGUGUUGGUAAAUUAGCAGCACUCUUUUAGGUUAUAGCGACACUCUUUAACUGUCACUAUAUACCUAGCGACCCACAUAUAGCAACACUUUUUAAAAGUGUCGGUAAUUUUAGCUAGCAGCACUUUUUUGACAUGUACCUAUAUUUAAAAGUAUCGCUAUAGACCGUUUUUGUUGUAGUGUAUUACAAAUCAAAGCUUUUAAAC
rnacentral:lncRNA from 1 species